UUAUUUGGAUUGCUUGAGGCUUAAUCUAUGGGAGGGAAUUCUUGUUUGAAUUGUGUCAUAAAGCUUGCCAUCUCUUGGUUAAAUCUUUCCUCCCUAGCUUUUACUUUAUUCCCUAGGAUAGUCUCUUCUUCUCCUCCCCUUCUUAAAUUUUCAAAACCUCAUCUCUCUUUAAAAAAAAACAUUCUUGUUUUUCAACUUGAACUAUUUU
rnacentral:lncRNA from 1 species